rnacentral:Y_RNA from 17 species
GGCUGGUCCGAUGGUAGUGGGUUAUCAGAACUUAUUAACAUUAGUGUCACUAAAGUUGAUAUACAACCCCCCACUGCUAAAUUUGACUGGCUUUU